GAUGAACGCUGGCGGCGUGCCUAAUACAUGCAGGUCGAACGAAACUUCUUUAUCACCGAGUGCUUGCACUCACCGAUAAAGAGUUGAGUGGCGAACGGGUGAGUAACACGUGGGCAACCUGCCCAAAAGAGGGGGAUAACACUUGGAAACAGGUGCUAAUACCGCAUAACCAUAGUUACCGCAUGGUAACUAUGUAAAAGGUGGCUAUACUACCGCUUUUGGAUGGGCCCGCGGCGCAUUAGCUAGUUGGUAGGGUAAAGGCUUACCAAGGCAAUGAUGCGUAGCCGAAUUGAGAGGUUGAUCGGCCACAUUGGGACUGAGACACGGCCCAAACUCCUACGGGAGGCUGCAGUAGGGAAUCUUCCACAAUGGGCGAAAGCCUGAUGGAGCAACGCCGCGUGGGUGAAGAAGGUCUUCGGAUCGUAAAACCCUGUUGUUAGAGAAGAAAGUGCGUGAGAGUAACUGUUCACGUUUCGACGGUAUCUAACCAGAAAGCCACGGCUAACUACGUG
rnacentral:rRNA from 1 species